rnacentral:rRNA from 1 species
AUUGAACGCUGGCGGAAUGCUUUACACAUGCAAGUCGAACGGCAGCACGGGGGCAGUCCUGGUGGCGAGUGGCGAACGGGUGAGUAAUACAUCGGAACGUGCCCGGUCGUGGGGGAUAACGUAGCGAAAGUUACGCUAAUACCGCAUACGAUCUGAGGAUGAAAGCGGGGGACCUUCGGGCCUCGCGCGAUCGGAGCGGCCGAUGUCAGAUUAGGUAGUUGGUGGGGUAAAGGCCUACCAAGCCGACGAUCUGUAGCUGGUCUGAGAGGACGACCAGCCACACUGGGACUGAGACACGGCCCAGACUCCUACGGGAGGCAGCAGUGGGGAAUUUUGGACAAUGGGCGCAAGCCUGAUCCAGCCAUGCCGCGUGCAGGACGAAGGCCUUCGGGUUGUAAACUGCUUUUGUACGGAACGAAAAGGCUCUGGCUAAUACCUGGGGCUCAUGACGGUACCGUAAGAAUAAGCACCGGCUAACUACGUG